ensembl:lncRNA
AGAAUGUAAUAAAAUAACCAGACUUAGCUUAAAAAAAACCUAAAAAAACGCAGAUUUGGCUUAAAAGGCUUUAAAAAAAAAACCCAAAAAAUCAAAUUCAUGCCUAAAAAUCUUCCUGAAAAGAUUUUUCCACCCCACUCCUGAGUGCACCUGGAAACUGGGGCAGGGAAAUCCCAUUUUUUUCCCCAUUUUCUCCCCAUUUUUCCCCAUUUUUUUCCCAUUUUUCCCAUUUUUCCCAUUUUUCCUAUUUUUCCCCAUUUUUUCCCAUUUUUCCCGUUUUUUUUUAGCAGAAUUGGAGCCCUAAAAUCAGAAGGAAAAAGGGAGGAAAAAUUUCCUUUUAAAAUUCUCCCGCCUUUCUCCUUCCCGCGCAUUUCCCCCAGAGAAACUCCCAUCCCAAAAAAAUCCCGGGAUUCCGGGAUCCAGGAGGCUCAGGAUCCAUCCCAAGGGAUUUUUAUGGAAUUCUGGGAUAGGGAGACCCUUCCUGGAGUCCCCAAUUCCCAGGGAAUUCCCAAAAUCCCUUCCCUUGGGAUGGGGCUGGAUCCAAGCCCAGGCUGGGAAUGGAGGGAAUUCCAUGGGAAAAACGGAAUCUUGGGAAGGAAUUCCCGGCUGGGCUGGAAUUCCCUGGAUCUCUGAGAGUAUCCAAGGAAAGCUUGGAGCAUCCUGAGCUGUUCCUGGAAUGGGAUAUUUGGAAUUUCUGGAAUGAAAAUCAAGGAAAACUUGGGAGCAAUCCCAAACCUUUUUAUCCAAGGAUUCAGAUUCAUCCCUUCGGCUCUUCCCAGGGAUUUCCCGGAAUUUUCCGUGCUCACUCCUUCCCGUUCCCGUUUUUCCGCAGUGCCGCGACGUGAGGACGCGGGAGGUCGGAAUUCAGGAAAUCCACCACAAAGUGAGGCCGUACCAGGUGGAGUUGAUCCGUCGGGAUUACGUGGCCAACGGGGGCUGGGAGACGUUCCUGUCCUACGAGGAUCCCGAGCAGGACAUCCUGGUGGGGCUCCUGCGCCUCCGGAAGAGCUCCCCGGAAUCUUUCCGCCCGGAGCUCAAGGGCGGCGUCUCCAUUGUCCGGGAAUUGCACGUCUACGGCAGCGUGGUGCCCGUCAGCAGCCGGGAUCCCUCCAAAUUCCAGCACCAGGUACUCCAGGCCUUCCCGGAUUUCCCUCUGCUCCUCAUUCCCUCUCUCCCCUCCCCAAAAAAACCUGGAAUUUUGUUUCAUUUCACUCUGAGUUAGGACAGGACCAGGAUGGGAUUGCAGCUCCUUUUGGCUGGAAUUCUGUCUCUUCCGCGUUUGCGUUGUUGGUUUUUUCCCAUGGGAUCACAUUCCAGCUCCGAGAUUUUAAACAAAAUUCUUUGAGAUUUGAAACAAUUCCUUUCGGGAUGCUCCCGGAGCCGCUGCGUUCCCAGGGCCGAUUUGCCUUUGGAUUUCCUUCGUUAAUUAAUUCCCGCUCCUGGAAGGAGGAAUUCCACUCCUGGAAUCCGCAGCAGUUCCUUUGGGAAGGGGAGGUCGGAUUUGGCGCUGCCUGGGUUUCUUUCCAAGGGACUUUGGUGGGAUGGGUUCUUCCCGCUGGAUCAGAAUUCCCAGGAGUGUCCCAGGAAAGGCUGGAGAACCCUGGGAUCGUGGGAGGUGUCAGGGUUGGAAUGGGAAUGGGAUUUAAGGUCCCUUCCCAAACCAGUCUGGAAUUACAACGCCCCAAUUUCCGUCCUUGGACACUCCCAGGGAUUCUCUGGGAAUUCCCAGCCAGGAAUUCCUUCCCAAAUCCCACCCCAAGCUCCCCUUUCCCAGGGAAUUCCCUCCAUUCCCAGCCUGGGAUUGGAUCCAUCCCCAACCCGACUCCUCUCCGGGAAGGAAUUUCAGAAUCCAGGGGGUUCACUGGGAAUUGGGGACUCCAGGAAGGGUCUCCCUUCCCUUUUCCAUCCCCAAAUUCCAUAAAAAACCCUCGGGAUGGAUUCUGA